UGGCGAGAAAAAUUAUAAAAAAAAAUGAAGUAUGUCAUAAAAUAAAAUUGAAAGUAUGACAUAAAAUAAGUAAGUCAAUAAUAAGGGUAAUAUUGUCAUUUAACAAUUUAUCCAUAAUUUUCUCACAAAGAGAACAUGUGUAUAGGAUAAAUGAAGUAUAAGAUAAAAAAAAAUUUCCAUCAAAGAGAACAUGAGAUAACAAGAGUGGAAAUGAUAAAAUUUUCCCACCUUUUCAUUUCCAUCCUUUUCUCAUGAUAAUUUUACAACCAAAG
rnacentral:lncRNA from 1 species